GAUGAACGCUGGCGGCGUGCCUAAUACAUGCAAGUCGAGCGAACAGAUGAGGAGCUUGCUCCCCUGACGUUAGCGGCGGACGGGUGAGUAACACGUGGAUAACCUACCUAUAAGACUGGGAUAACUUCGGGAAACCGGAGCUAAUACCGGAUAAUAUAUUGAACCGCAUGGUUCAAUAGUGAAAGACGGUUUUGCUGUCACUUAUAGAUGGAUCCGCGCCGCAUUAGCUAGUUGGUAAGGUAACGGCUUACCAAGGCAACGAUGCGUAGCCGACCUGAGAGGGUGAUCGGCCACACUGGAACUGAGACACGGUCCAGACUCCUACGGGAGGCAGCAGUAGGGAAUCUUCCGCAAUGGGCGAAAGCCUGACGGAGAAACGCCGCGUGAGUGAUGAAGGUCUUCGGAUCGUAAAACUCUGUUAUUAGGGAAGAACAAAUGUGUAAGUAACUAUGCACGUCCUGACGGUACCUAAUCAGAAAGCCACGGCUAACUACGUG
rnacentral:rRNA from 1 species